AUUUUAUGGAGAGUUUGAUCCUGGCUCAGGACGAACGCUGGCGGCGUGCCUAAUACAUGCAAGUCGAGCGAAUCUUUUAAAAGCUUGCUUUUGAAAGGUUAGCGGCGGACGGGUGAGUAACACGUGGGCAACCUGCCCUAUAGUUUGGGAUAACUCCGGGAAACCGGGGCUAAUACCGGAUAAUACAAUUU
rnacentral:rRNA from 1 species